UUGAAUGGGGAGUUAAAUAUCAAUUUUUCACUGUUUCGUUAACAAUGCUUCUCUUAAUUUUAACAAACCGCUUGUGUUUCGCACACAAUGUGUGUAUUCCUUAUACACCGAUGAAAAGCUCUGUUGCAGCAGUAAAGACACUGCAGUAUUGGCAGAAUGAAUCUCGCUUUUCCGUGUUUCUUAUCUUUUAUCUUGUUUAAUCUUUCUUAAUCAGACACCUCAUUAACAUUGCUCACAAAAUCAAGCGAGUGCGUUUAUCCAAACCGAAAGCAGCCCACCUAGAACUGGGUAAAGUUAUUUAAAUAUUUUACAGAGUAUUUUAUUUGAUUAUGUUGUAUAUCUGUGGUACACACGCUCCGUUUGCAACAAAUACUUAUAAAUUUAAAUUGUCUCUAAAUUCUAAAUUCUGCUGUUUUUCUGUUUUCAGUUUAGCAGUUUCGGGCUGGACUACAAAACGGGGGUAUAAGCUUUGGAGUCUUCGGGCAGGACAAGCUUGACUCAGCUGCUGGAAUUAUCUAUGAAAUUUAACGAAGUUCCAGUCUUCAUUCUGAUCGCUGCCUCGACAAAUCCCUUGGAGAAACAGUAAUGUGCCGUAUGUUUCUGUGCUUUUCCGUGUACUGUAGUUGCGUGCAAAUCUUUUUGUACACUGUUUAUUUGUAAAAGCUUUUAGCGUAAAUGUAUCCGUGCUUUGACACUUUAAAUCGAUGUUACUUUUCACUUCAGAUCCUGUGGAUCUGUCGUAUGUAAUGGAAUGCGUUGUUUAACGUUGCAUGCUAAUGUUUUUGUACU